GAUGAAGAACGCAGCGAAAUGCGAUAAGCAAUGUGAAUUGCAGAAUUCAGUGAAUCAUCGAAUCUUUGAACGCACAUUGCGCCCGCCAGUAUUCUGGCGGGCAUGCCUGUCCGAGCGUCAUUUCAACCCUCGAACCCCUCCGGGGGGUCGGCGUUGGGGACCUCGGGAGCCCCUAAGACGGGAUCCCGGCCCCGAAAUACAGUGGCGGUCUCGCCGCAGCCUCUCCUGCGCAGUAGUUUGCACAACUCGCACCGGGAGCGCGGCGCGUCCACGUCCGUAAAACACCCAACUUCUGAAAUGUUGACCUCGGAUCAGGUAGGAAUACCCGCUGAACUUAAGCAUAUCAAUAAGCGGAGGA
rnacentral:misc_RNA from 1 species